CACAUUGAUUACGUCCCUGGCCUUUGUACACACCGCCCGUCGCAGGAUUCAAGAUGG
rnacentral:rRNA from 1 species